rnacentral:lncRNA from 1 species
UUACAAAUAUAGUUUUCCUAGUGUAUGAUAAAACAAGUAAUUCAAUGAACCGUCCUGGGUGGGCUGCUUUGAGUAUUCGGAUGUCGUGACGUUAGGUCCAUUUCUAUGGGUCCCUCUGAGUCGAGUCUCCGUGGAUUCGGAGAUGGAUCGUCCAUGGACGUCUCUCCCGUGGAUUCGGGGAGCGCCUUCGUCACAAUGUGGGAUGCCACCCAGGAUAACCAGAGGCUGGACUAGUUUCCUGUUUAGUAGCUUCCAGUACAACCACAUGGUAAUAUGGGCUCUGCCUGGAUGGAGUAAGAAAUGUUUACCCAGAUCCGAGGGAUUGUACUGAGGUAGUUGUGUAGGUGGGAGCGC